UCUGAUAGCGACUGCGGAGGUCAUUA
rnacentral:rRNA from 1 species